GAUGAACGCUAGCGGGAGGCUUAACACAUGCAAGUCGAGGGGCAGCACGAGGUAGCAAUACUUUGGUGGCGACCGGCGCACGGGUGAGUAACGCGUAUGCAACCUACCCUGUACAGGGGGAUAGCCCGGAGAAAUUCGGAUUAAUACCCCAUAAUGAUAUUAAGAGGCAUCUCUAUAUAUUUAAAGUUUCGACGGUACGGGAUGGGCAUGCGUGACAUUAGCUAGUUGGUAGGGUAACGGCCUACCAAGGCUGCGAUGUCUAGGGGUCCUGAGCGGGUGAUCCCCCACACGAGUACGGGGACACGAACCAGACUCCUGCGGGAGGCAGCAGUGAGGAAUAUUGGUCAAUGGGCGUAAGCUUGAAACAGCCAUCCCGCGUGAAGGAAGACGGCGCUAUGCGUUGUAAACUUCUUUUCCGGAGGAAUAAAAUUUCGUACGAGUACGGGACUGAAGGUACUCCGGGAAUAAGCAUCGGCUAACUCCGUGCCAGCAGCCGCAGUAA
rnacentral:rRNA from 1 species